UUAUCGUGGCUUCUGUGACUUGAGAUGAACUCCGAUUCUUUUCAGGACAGGAUGGUCUAGACCUCCAGGAGAAGAAACCGCUGUUCGGCUAACCUCAAGGCUCAUCUGACUCGUGAACGCUAUUGGAACUGGACUUACCGCGGCUGCUGACGACCGACAUGUCCAAGUCAAAUUGGCUUCAGGACCGAAAGGUCUACUCCUCCCGACAAAAAAAAAAGAAGAAACUGCUAAUCGGCGUAAUGCCCGAGUUCCUCGGACUGGUAACAGGAUUCUAGAGGGCUACGAAAAUAUUUUGAGAGAACAUUCUAGAAAUAUUAAUACUACCAAGAUCUCCAGACCUGCAGCUAAUCAAAGAUGACGGUAUCGAUGUAACAGAGGUGCCGCGGACAUGGCGUGACAUCAUCACCUUUGACCCUUGGUAGAGCGACUCGAUAACUGUAACUUGUAGCCGGAUAUCCGCGUUAUUCAUUGAUGGUUGAUGCUCAGUGAUGACGUCAUUCCCAUCGUUAUUCAAGCUUUUAAAAUAGUUGCCAGGCGCUGAGUAGAAGAAACUCAGAGAACUGUGGCAUCAGCAUCUAAUGUGAGAUAGUGCUGUCGAAAAAUUAUGGGAUGGCAGACAUCCAGUCAAUGAAAACAAUACAUCAAAUCAAUCGAAAACAAGAGAAUCAGUCAAUGGCAAACAAGAAGUUAAUCUACAGAAAACAAGACACCAAAUCAAUGGUGAACCAGACAUUCAAACAACGGAAAACAAGACAUCCAACCCAGUGGCGUAGCUAGGAAUUUAUCAUUAUUGGGAGGGGGGCCCAGGGACUUGAUUUUUUUGGGUGGCCCUGCGUUUGGAGUAAUAUUUAAUAUAUAAUGUAAAAAACACUCAUUUGGGGACCCCCCUCAAGUUGGGGCCCGGGGAGAUUUUCCCCACCCAAGCUACGCCUCUGAUCCAUCCUAUAGAAAAGUAAAUAUUCCAUCAACGGAAAUACGACCAAUUGGCGGGCACAUAUUUGGCCCGAUACAUAGACAAAAUUGUAUUCUACAAUAGACUAAAAAUGUCUAUAAAUUCAGGAAGAACAAUGACAAAGAACAUACAUACAUUUUUAGUGAUUACUUUUUAAUAAUGUGUUAUAUGAAAUUGAGCUGAAAAUCAGCAGCGUAGCAACCAUGUGGAGAAGGAUUUCCUUGCACCCGGGUCCAUGACAUUGGGGGUCUACUAGAAAAAAAAAGACAAAAUGUUUGACGACCGAAAUUUAAUUUUAUCGAAAUCAUGUUAUUUAUUUCCUCCCUGACUGAGUCAUGACUGAGCUGAGCCUAAGGUUAUUAGUAGGUUUAAAAAGUAGUACAUCUUUUGAAUUUUUUAAUCAAUGUAUUAAUACGCACAGGAUGACUCGAUUUGGCUUUUUAUCACACGUAACCCACGGGGGUCCCGCCAACAUAUUUUUGAACCCUGGCCUACGGGUAUCUUGCUACGCUGCUGCUGAAGCUUACAUGGUGACCUGGUUUUUGAACUAAGUAACAUUAGUAAUGCACCCCUUUCGAUCUCAGGAUAUGUAAAGGUCAUCUGUUUCUAGGGAUGGCGUUUAAUAAGGGUAUCAGGUGGCCAGUACAACGACCAUCAGAUUUACUUUCCCCAACUAAUGUCAGGUACCCAUUAGAGCUGGGUGG